rnacentral:tRNA from 1 species
GGAGAGUUGCGAGAGCGGUCGAAUCGGCACGACUGGAAAUCGUGUGUACCGAGAGGUACCCUGGGUUCGAAUCCCAGACUCUCCG